rnacentral:rRNA from 1 species
UUAAGCCAUGCAAGUCGAACGAGUUUAGGCUCGUGGCGUACGGCUCAGUAACACGUGGAUAAUCUACCCUUAGGACCGGGAUAACCUUGGGAAACUGAGGAUAAUACUGGAUAGGCAAUUAUUCCUGUAAUGGUUUUUUGUUUAAAUGUUUUUUCGCCUAAGGAUGAGUCUGCGGCCGAUUAGGUAGUUGGUUAGGUAAUGGCUUACCAAGCCGUUGAUCGGUACGGGUUGUGAGAGCAAGAGCCCGGAGAUGGAACCUGAGACAAGGUUCCAGGCCCUACGGGGUGCAGCAGGCGCGAAACCUCCGCAAUGUGAGAAAUCGCGACGGGGGGAUCCCAAGUGCCAUUCUUAACGGGAUGGCUUUUCAUUAGUGUAAAGAGCUUUUGGAAUAAGAGCUGGGCAAGACCGGUGCCAGCCGCCGCGGUAACACCGGCAGCUCUAGUGGUAACAAUUUUUAUUGGGCCUAAAGCGUCCGUAGCCGGUUUAAUAAGUCUCUGGUGAAAUCCUGUAGCUUAACUGUGGGAAUUGCUGGAGAUACUAUUAGACUUGAGACCGGGAGAGGUUAGAGGUACUCCCAGGGUAGAGGUGAAAUUCUGUAAUCCUGGGAGGACCGCCUGUUGCGAAGGCGUCUAACUGGAACGGUUCUGACGGUGAGGGACGAAAGUUAGGGGCGCGAACCGGAUUAGAUACCCGGGUAGUCCUAACUGUAAACGAUGCGGACUUGGUGUUGGGGUGGCUUUGAGCUGCUCCAGUGCCGAAGGGAAGCUGUUAAGUCCGCCGCCUGGGAAGUACGGUCGCAAGACUGAAACUUAAAGGAAUUGGCGGGGGAGCAAUCUGCUGAAAAACUCGAG